rnacentral:lncRNA from 1 species
AACUGCAACAUCACUCCCUCCAGCCAUCUUUUUAAAAGCCUCUGGGCUGCUGGCCACAGCCCCACACGUGCCAGGUCCCUCCUUCUGCAGGGAACCCCUCCAUCCCUCCUCCCAGCUGUGCUCCUCUGCACCAUCUUUGAUGCACCACCUCCUGUGGGCUCUUCCAGCUUGUUACUCUGUCAGAAGAAAGAUGCCAUUCCUUGCUGGGGCCAUUGGACACUGAAACAUUUCUGUUUACCUGGAUGAAGUUGAUCUUCAUCCCCGUUGCUCCACAUGAGGAGAUAAUUAGGCCUCCUGUAGCAGCUUUGUGACUUCCUAGAAUGCACUGUGCCCUAUAGACCUGCUCAUUCUCUCAGUACUGAAGCAAGAUGAGUCCUGAGGAUUUACAUUAGCGUCUUGACAAUUGAGUUGAGCAUUAUCUGGAUGUAAAUGCAUUCAUCCAUAACAGAGGAAAAUCUCAAAUCCCAGCAUCAAAGAAUACUUCACUUUUUAAUGCUACAAAGUCAUGUUCCUUCCAGCAAAUCAACUGCUUAGUGGUUCACUGCAAAUGAAAGAUGUUGCUUGAUUCCUGGUUUAGAUACUUGUAUUGGAAACUUCCUUAAUACUUAUUAGAACCUGCUGAAUCUUAAAACACUUUAGGCAGAGAAGGGACUUAAGUACGUCAUUGGGAAAACAUCCCAGCUGCUUACCACAUGAGAGGAUUAAAGAUGACAAUCCAUCAGGGGUGUGAUGACUGUGUUUUUUAGAGCACAUUACUCUCUUGCAUCUAUUACAUGGAUUUCUGGGUUUUGUAUUCACGAUGCAACAGUCUGUUACGCAACAAAUGUCCACACGUACAUGGCCAUAUGAAGACUUGCACCCAGUAGCGAGGCAAGAAGAUAAGUCCAUUUUCUUUCCCUUUGAAAUUUCUCGGAGAUGAGCUGCUCCAUGUUUCCUAAGCCCUUUGAGCUGGUGUGCUGUACCUGUGUGGACGUGAAUGCCAAAUACCUGUCACCGUUCCAGCUCCUGUGGCUAGCAGCUUGAUCCUCCCACAGCUGUGCCCGUACAAAGCCAAAAGCAAGAAAAUCAGCCUGCUGCUGAAAUGCCAAAAUGUGGAACAGUUGCCUAGAACUGUAACUUGAGAGAGAUUAGAAAUAAGCCUAUCACAGGCACCAGUGAGCAACCCUAUGAAAAUAUCACUUUCCAAAAAAAAAUGAACCAUUAUUUUCUGCUGAACACUUAAAGCUUCAAGGCUUGCAGAACCUUG